rnacentral:lncRNA from 1 species
CCAUCAUUUCUGGUUCCUCUGAGUCUUUCUUAGGGUAAUUUGCUGAUGUAUCUGAAUUUUCUGAAAUUAAGAUUUGUUUUUAAGGAAGCUAAGUCUUCUGAGGGAGACUCCUCAGUUUUGUCUAAGACAGAUAUUUUUGGGAGUGAUUCUUGAUUAUAAUCCCUUAAAAUUCUUGUUAGGGGAUUAUUACAAGAUUGUUUCUCCUUUUGUAUUAUUAAGGAUUUUGAUACCUGUCUUGACGGAGAUGAAUAAGGGCUUUCUUGUUCUUCUUCCUCCUUCUCAACUAGUCUUUUUCCCAGGGCUUUUUCUUUUUGUCUCCUUACUUCUGUUGAUUUUUUCUAUUCUGCUUUCUUUUUAGCUUUGAUCUACAAAAACAAAUCAUAUGUACUUGGCUUUUUCUUUUCUUUUGGUGGAGGAAAAUCUAUUUUCAAUGUUUUAGAUGUUCUUGGCUUGUCUAGUUGCCUUGCUGAAGGGAAUAACUCAAUACCAUUCUUCAAAGGUUGAGGAGAUGGUAUCUUCCCUGCCUCCUCAAGGGUUUUGAUCUGCUCCUUAAGGUUUUAAGUCUCUUUUUCUCUCUAGGCAAUGUGAGAGAAAAAGUCUUGUCCUGGUGCUACUGUCUUAGUGGCAACUUCUUUAAGCCUUUUCUUGAAAAGUUUAAUCAGGUUUUUGAUCAUCUCGAAAUUUUCAUCGAUUUUAUCUUCAAUCUUAGAGACCUUUGUGUCAAUUUCAUUGACCUUUAGGUCUAUCUUUUUC